rnacentral:rRNA from 1 species
AAAACCUACGGGACGCAGCAGUAGGGAAUCUUCCACAAUGGACGAAAGUCUGAUGGAGCAACGCCGCGUGAGUGAAGAAGGGUUUCGGCUCGUAAAACUCUGUUGGUAGUGGAGAAAGAUAGAGGUAGUAACUGGCCUUUAUUUUGCGGUAAUUACUUAGAAAGUCACGGCUAACUAAGUGCCAGCAGCCGCGGUAAUACGUAGGUGGCAAGCGUUGUCCGGAUUUAUUGGG